UUUACUGAAAAAGUAUAUUGUUAUUGGGGAUGAAAAAGCUGUCGGCCAAAAGGACCUACAGAAAACAAAGGCUGUGGGUCAGAGUGGUUUUCAGUUGACUUCAGGCUUAAGGACCGACGUUAAUAUCGAACGCUGGAUAAAGUCGGAGUUCAAAUUGACACUCUUAAGAUUACUGAUAGGAUUUUGUCACUUCUAUUUAUAUAACAACAUAAAAAAUUAACCUAUAUCUUCAAAUAAUCGCUCGUUAAAUGUCAUGUCAAUACUUUUGAUACCCUGUAUGAUAUAAUACUAUAUUUAGAAAGCCUCACGAUAAACUGAUGUUAAGGGCAUAAGCAUUAUAAAUAUAAAUUCAUCAUAUAACUAUUACAAAUGGUGGCAUCAUGUAUGCAUCUAAAUACCCACAGAUCAGUUGUAUAUAAUAAGUUUUCGGGCAAAUAUAAUUUGUCAUAUUUAGAUCGAAGCACUUUACAGUAAAUGAUUAUGUUUCUAUACACUCUGCAUUAAUUUUAUGUGUUUCUGUUUUAAGCAAAUAAGUUCAAGAGUAAAAUGGGUGAAUGAAGAAAUAAAUAAUGAAAAAAUACAUUUGAAAUAAUUUUAGAUUAUAGUUAUCAAUGGGCAAGAAAUAAUAGGUGAUUGCUCAAAUGUUUGGGAGAUAAAGUCAAACACACACCAAUAUUGAAGGCCUAUCUAAUGAGAAUGAAUAAUGUAACGCAAUCUAAACCUUGCAAACGGAAAUACUGAUAUUAAUUAAUUAAUAUUUUACUUCCACAUUUCAAUUUCACAUGACAAAACAAACUUGUAUAUAGAGUACGAUCGAGAAUACUUGAACAGAAAAUCCAAUUCUUAACAGGUUUAGUUUACCAAAAGCAAAAUAUACAAACAAGGUCAAUAGUUCAAUGUAUGCAACUUCCUAUUCACAAUACAUGCAACUUUUCGGUGUAGAU